UACAGAGGGUGCAAGCGUUGUCCGGAAUCACUGGGCGUAAAGGGCGCGUAGGCGGCUCAUGAAGGCUGUGGUGAAAGUCCGGGCUCAACCUCGGAUCGGCCGUGGCGACUCGUGGGCUGGAGCACUGUAGAGGCGGGUGGAAUUCCGGGUGUAGCGGUGGAAUGCGUAGAGAUCCGGAAGAACACCAGUGGCGAAGGCGGCCCGCUGGGCAGUGGCUGACGCUGAGGCGCGACAGCGUGGGGAGCAAACAGGG
rnacentral:rRNA from 1 species